rnacentral:rRNA from 1 species
UGAUGUGGAUUAAUUCGAUGCAACGCGAAAACCUUACUACCCUUGACAUGUCCGGAAUCCCGAAGAGAUUCGGGAGUGCUCGCAAGAGAACCGGAACACAGGUGCUGCAUGGCUGUCGUCAGCUCGUGUCGUGAGAUGUUGGGUUAAGUCCCGCAACGAGCCGCAACCCUUGUCAUUAGUUGCCAUCAUUUGGUUGGGCACUCUAAUGAGACUGCCGGUGACAAACCGGGAGGAAGGUGGGGAUGACGUCAAGUCCUCAUGGCCCUUAUGGGUAGGGCUUCACACGUCAUACAAUGGUCGGUACAGAGGGUUGCCAACCCGCGAGGGGGAGCUAAUCCCACAAAGCCGAUCGUAGUCCGGAUCGCAGUCUGCAACUCGACUGCGUGAAGUCGGAAUCGCUAGUAAUCGUGGAUCAGAAUGUCACGGUGAAUACGUUCCCGGGUCUU